UGAACCACACGGCAGAAUAAAUUUUUUUGCUGCAAAACAAAAACACGCGACAGAUAUUAUUGUAUCUAAGACGAAGAAACGAGCAAAAGAAUUAUUGCACCUCAUUGAACUUGAUGUAGCUUCAUUUGAUAUAUUUGAUCUUCCACCUCUAAAUGAAUAUGAACUAUAUAUAAAAAGUUAUGGUCAGUCUGAUUGUAAACAGGUGCUGAAUUUUGAUUGCAAUGUUAUAGAACUACAUCGUCUCAAGGAAAACUUAUCUCAACUUAAACCUGAUGAUGUUGACAGUUUUUCCAAUUAUAUUGAUUCCAUUAUAUGACCAACCAAAUCAUGAAAGUUUCUACAAAAAUUUAUUUAUUUUAAUGUAUAAAGUCUUUAUUUAUACCAUCUAAAUUGUGUAAAUACGCUGAAAGUUCACUUUAGUGUCCUAGUUCCUAAUGGACAAUAUACAUGAAUAAAGUAGCCCCGAAUCGGGAAAA